rnacentral:rRNA from 1 species
UACAGAGGGGGCAAGCGUUGUUCGGAAUUACUGGGCGUAAAGGGCGCGUAGGCGGCCUUCUAAGUCGAACGUGAAAUCCCCGGGCUCAACCCGGGAACUGCGUCCGAUACUGGAAGGCUUGAAUCCGGGAGAGGGAUGCGGAAUUCCGAGGUGUAGCGGUGAAAUGCGUAGAUAUCUGGAGGAACACCGGAUGGCGAAGGCGCAAUCCCUGGACCG